rnacentral:rRNA from 1 species
UCCGGUGGCGAUACGCCUGGGGGGAACACCCGUCCCCAUCCCGAACACGAAGGUUAAGACCCAGACGGCCGAUGGUACUAUGCUGGAGACGGCAUGGGAGAGCAGGAGGCUGCCGGAG